rnacentral:lncRNA from 1 species
CUUCUGUCUCUUCUUGGGAAGGUUUUAAAGAAGGAUGUGUUUUACUUUAUUAACCAAUCAUUGUGUACUUCGAAGUUAGGAACCAUCAGAAACGUAGCUGUGCAGAGACAAAAGGUACACAUGUUUUCUGGCGUACAUAUCUCUCUUUCCUUUCCGAUUGAGUGGGUAACUCAAGAAAGAUCUAAAGGCCGGGUGCAGUGGCUCACACGUGUAAUCCCAGUACUUUGGGAGGCCGAGGCGGGUGGAUCACAGGGUCAGGAGAUCGAAUCAAUCCUAGUAAUAGCAUGUGUUAACAGACACUAUUAGUAAGAAUAUAAAUUGAUAUUGCCCCUUUGGAGCAUGAUUUAACAGUAGCUUUUAAAAUUUAAUACGCACAUAGCAUUUAUCCAUCAAAUCCACUUCUAGAACUCUGUCCUACAGAAAUAGUAACAUGAUUCUGUGAUACAGUAUACAUAGAUAUUUAUUGAAACUUUUUUCAUAAAAGUGAAACAUGGGCUGGAGCAGUGGCUCUCACCUGUAAUCCUUGAGGUCAAGAGUUUGAGGACAGCCUGGUCAACGUGGUAAAACUCUGUCUCCACUAAAAAUAUUUUUAAAAUGAGCUGGGUAUGGUGGUGCAUGCCUGUGAUCCCAGCUACUCAAGAGGCUGAGGCACAAGAAUUGCUUAAACCUGGGAGGCGGAGGUUGCAGUGAGUUGAAAUCACACCACUGCACUCCAGCCUGGGCGACAGAGUGAGACUCUGUCUGAAGAAAAAAAAAAAAAAAGUGAAACAUGGAAACAGCUUAAAUGUCCAACCACAGAGGAAUGAUUGAAAGAAUUAAGGCGUCACAAAGCAGUAGGUUACAAUGAAACUUUAAAAAUUUCUAUGUACUGGCUGGGUGCAGUGGCUCACACCUAUAAUUCCAACACUUUGGGAGGUUGAGGUGGGAGGAUCACUUGAGGCCAGGAGUUUGAGACUGUCCUGGGCAACAUCGCAAGACCCUGUCUCUACAAAUUUUUUUUUUUUGAGACUCUGUUGCCCAGGCUGGAAUGCAGUGGUGUGAUCUCGGCUCACUGCAACCUUUGCCUCCUGGGUUCAAGCCAUUCCCCUGCCUCAGACUCCCAAGUACCUGGGACUACAGACAUGCACCACCAUGGCCUGGUUAAUCUUUGUAUUUUUAAUAGAGACUGGGUUUCACCAUGUUGACCAGGUUGGUCUUGAACUCCUGACCUCAUAUGAUCCGCCUGUCUCGGCCUCCCAGAGUGCUGGGAUUACAGGCGUGAGCCACCGUGCCCAGCCAAAAAUUUUUUUUUAAUUGGCUGAGCAGGCCGGGUAGUAGUCCAUUCCUCAUGAACACUUUUCUCUGUCCUAUAAUAUCUAACCUCUCUGGCUUCAAAUAACUAAAGGCAGAUGCAAAGUUGCAAAGAAGCACACCUUUAUGCCUUUCCAGAAAGAAAGAAUGAAGUUCUGUGGCUACAUGGCUUCAUCUCUGAAUGAGUGAUUAGUCAGCUUUCCCUUCCUUGUGUUCCCUCCUCUGCCCUGGAAUGUGCACCCACAAAUGUAGGUGGUGGAAACAGGUAGGGUGGCUGUCACAGGUUCAAACUCCCCAACCCGUGGCUGAGUUCAUGGGAUCAGUUUACGGCCUCCCCCAUGUUUGUGACGAGCAAAGACAGGAGCAAAUUCGAAGAAGGGACUUCACUACCCAUGGCUAUUUGAACACUUAAANNNNNNNNNNNNNNNNNNNNNNNNNNNNNNNNNNNNNNNN